CGAAGGUGGGUUCGAUAAUUGGGGUGAAGUCGUAACAAGGUAGCCGUAUCGGAAGGUGCGGCUGGAUCACCUCCUUUCUAAGGAGA
rnacentral:rRNA from 1 species